UAACACGUAGGAGACAAGCGUUAUUCGGAUUUACUGGGCGUAAAGCGCGUGCAGGCGGUUUCGCAAGUUGGAUGUGAAAGCUCCCGGCUUAACUGGGAGAGGUCGUUCAAAACUACGGAACUAGAGAGUGGUAGAGGAAGGCGGAAUUCCGGGUGUAGUGGUGAAAUGCGUAGAUAUCCGGAGGAACACCAGUGGCGAAAGCGGCCUUCUGGACCAAUUCUGACGCUCAGACGCGAAAGCUAGGGGAGCGAACGGG
rnacentral:rRNA from 1 species